CCUACGAGAGGCAGCAGUGGGGAAUAUUGCGCAAUGGGCGAAAGCCUGACGCAGCGACGCCGCGUGAGGGAUGAAGGUCUUCGGAUCGUAAAACCCUGUCAGCAGGGAAGAAAGGUCACUGUGCUAAUCAGCAGUGAAUUGACGGUACCUGCAAAGGAAGCACCGGCUAACUCCGUGCCAGCAGCCGCGGUAAUACGGAGGGUGCGAGCGUUAAUCGGAAUUACUGGGCGUAAAGCGCUCGUAGGCGGUAUGUCAAGUCAAGGGUGAAAUCCCCGCGCUCAACGUGGGAACUGCCUUUGAAACUGGCAAACUGGAGUGUGUGAGAUGAUAGUGGAAUUCCAGGUGUAGGAGUGAAAUCCGUAGAUAUCUGGAGGAACAUCAGUGGCGAAGGCGACUAUCUGGCACAUAACUGACGCUGAGGAGCGAAAGCGUGGGUAGCAAACAGGAUUAGAUACCCCUGUAGUC
rnacentral:rRNA from 1 species